UGGCGAUGAUGACUUCCAUUGGUUGGUCCGUGUUUCCGACAAGCGAGUGAUGUUAGCACAACCAUCUGAGCCA
rnacentral:snoRNA from 1 species